AUGGGUUCUGUUGAAUUUCAAGUAUUCAGUUUCACUAAUAAGAUACGGAGACUUGCUUCACAUUUGGAAUACACAAAAAAGAUUUUUCAUCGGAAAUCUUAA
rnacentral:rRNA from 1 species